GUAUUGAUUGCGUGUGACCGCAAAAAUAACAUUCUACACUGUAUCAAGUUUUGUGUGAAAACGUGAGCCCUCCUGCAAAGGGGACCCACGCGGUGAUGCACAAGGGGUGAAAUGGAUGUGUGAGAGUGCUCAGGCGUGCACGACCUUUUGAAAGGUCAGCGACAGCCCUUGCACCUCGGUUAUACAAUAAUGAUCCUUCCGCAGGUUCACCUACGGAAA
rnacentral:misc_RNA from 1 species